rnacentral:rRNA from 1 species
UACGAGGGGGGCGAGCGUUGUUCGGAAUUACUGGGCGUAAAGCGUGCGUAGGCGGUUCGUUAAGUCAGCUGUGAAAGCCCCGGGCUCAACCUGGGAAUUGCGGUUGAAACUGGCGAACUAGAAUCUGGCAGAGGGGGGUGGAAUUCCACGUGUAGCAAUGAAAUGCGUAGAGAUGUGGAGGAACACCGAUGGCGAAGGCAGCCCCCUGGGUCAAGACUGACGCUCAUGCACGAAAGCGUGGGGAGCAAACAGG